AAUCCCAUAAACCGUGGCUCAGUUCAGAUCGUAGGCUGCAACUCGCCUACGUGAAGUAGGAAUCGCUAGUAAUCGCAGGUCAGCAUACUGCGGUGAAUACGUUCCCGGGCCUUGUACACACCGCCCGUCACACCAUGGAAGUUGGCCAUGCCCGAAGUCGUUACUCCAACCCUUGUGGAGGAGGACGCCGAAGGUGGGGCUAAUGACUGGGGUGAAGUCGUAACAAGGUAGCCGUACCGGAAGGUGCGGCUGGAUCACCUCCUAACAGGGAGACAACAAAAUGUUUAAUAUUAUUAUUUUGUCACCUUAGGUCGAUCGGUAUCUCACGUUCUUAAUUUAUUAAGAAUUUCAUUUCCUAAGUUUUUCUAGGUCACACCCAUUAUUUUUCCUGGGCCAUUAGCUCAGGUGGUUAGAGCGCACCCCUGAUAAGGGUGAGGUCCCUGGUUCAAGUCCAGGAUGGCCCAUAUCUCUAUGUUGGGGGUAUAGCUCAGUUGGUAGAGCGCCUGCUUUGCAAGCAGGAUGUCAGCGGUUCGAGUCCGCUUACCUCCACUGAUUACCACCUCUUCCAUAUUUUAUAAAAAGGAAAUGUUUUGAGUUGUGAUCAAAUUCUGAACGAAUCUAGCUUCCUAAUGAAAUCAUUAAGAUGCUGGACUCAUUGAAUUAAUUUCAUUGUUUUCAGAGAACCUUGACAACUGCAUAGAUUAUUUUUAAAGACAAUAAGCAUCUUUGUGAUGCAGAUUUAUUAUUUGU
rnacentral:misc_RNA from 1 species